CUGCACCAGCUGCCGCCUUUAUCUGCAGCCAGAAAGCCAGAAAGCAGGGUUUACCGCUGGCCCCACAGUGCCAUAUGGUCAGGGAAAAAGAAGGAAAUCCAAUAGUACGUAAACAAAGGCCCAAAGAGAAACCGUCAAAGUGCUCUAUGCCUCACCGUUUAGCAGAAAAUAUCAAGCAACUCCCAACCUAGCUGGUCUGUAGCUUCCACGAAUGAAAUAAUGUAUUUAUUGCAGUCUUUCUGGUUGAGAUAUUUCAAAUAUUUGGUGGAACUUUUAAUUAGAGGGAGAGAUACUCUCAAGUGUGGAAGAAAAAAAUGAGGGGGUGUGAGGAUGGGGCGACUUUAGGACAGAAAAAAAGAGACAAGGAAGCCACGUAAACAUUUUCGGGUGGGCGUGAGGCGAUGUCAGUCUUGAACCCCGUUACGUUAGGUAAAGAGGGCAGCCCUCUUCUAGCACAAACACCGUUUCUCACAUUGAGGAAAUUACAGGAAUCAGCAACUCUAGAGUGCGAUGAAGAAGCUUCACUCUGGGAGAAUUCCCUUCGUGACCGCGGUCUCUACUCUGCCAGGUAAGUGAGAAUGAGCGCAGGCCCUGCAGGGACAGCACAGCCUCCUCACCCUGGCCGGACGCUCAGGGUUACCACCCUACCCACUGCCGCCCCUCGCCAUUCUUCCAAACCACUCUCAGCCAAACAUUCCACCGACAGUCACCCCACACCACAACCCAGGCCGCCUUUCAGCAGCGGCUCCCGCCCCGCAGCCACCGCGCACUCUCACCCCCGCGGUUCUGCCCGCCGCCUCUGCCCCAGUCUGUGCACUUCACCUCCCUGGCUCCCGCUCUCUCCUGAGCUCACAGUGGACGCGGCGUUCGUCCGAACCCCUCUUGGGAGUACUGAAUGGAAAAUGGGGAGCGUGCGCAAGUGGUUGGUGGAGUGUAGACUUUGUGGGAUUUAACUGUGAGACCAUCACUUCGACGUCCUAGUGCUGGUUUUCACACCUGC